rnacentral:rRNA from 1 species
UACGGAGGGUGCAAGCGUUAUCCGGAUUCACUGGGUUUAAAGGGUGCGUAGGAGGGCAGGUAAGUCAGUGGUGAAAUCUCCGGGCUUAACCCGGAAACUGCCGUUGAUACUAUCUGUCUUGAAUGUAGUGGAGGUGAGCGGAAUAUGUCAUGUAGCGGUGAAAUGCUUAGAUAUGACAUAGAACAUCUAUUGCGAAGGCAGCUCGCUACACUAUGAUUGACUCUGAGGCACGAAAGCGUGGGGAUCAAACAGG